rfam:Myotis brandtii contig302101, whole genome shotgun sequence.
GGCGGUUCUCGGGUGACGCACCCCGGAAUCAAGUUCCUUCCUCUCUGGUUCCAGUGCGUCACCCGAGAACCGCA